rnacentral:lncRNA from 1 species
CACUUGCCCCUAGAAUCGGGCACGAAAGACAAGACUUUCUUGAGCACGAGGUCACCUUCUCGGAACACACGAGGCUUGACCUUCUUAUCGAAUGCUUUCUUCAUUCUCUGCUGAUAUAACUGACCAUGACACAUGGCAGUCAAUCUCUUCUCUUCAAUCAAAUUCAGCUGGUCAUAACGACUCUGAACCCAUUCAGCAUCAGUCAACUAGGGAUUUGAGGGUAUACUUUUUCUUUUUUUCUUUUUUCUUUUGAAAUUUUUUUUUUGAUUUUUGAUUUUUUUUUCUUUUCUCACCCUCUCUCCUUUUUUUUUGAUUACAUUUGUAAUGCCCCAGUUUGACUGUUUUGCUGAUUCUCAUGAUACAGCUAAAUGAGCUUCUUUCUAUGCUCAAGAAGG